rnacentral:rRNA from 1 species
UACUGACACUGAGGCUCGAAAGCGUGGGUAGCAAACAGGAUUAGAUACCCUGGUAGUCCACGCCGUAAACGAUGUCUACUAGUCGUUGGGUCCCUUGAGGACUUAGUGACGCAGCUAACGCAAUAAGUAGACCGCCUGGGGAGUACGGCCGCAAGGUUAAAACUCAAAUGAAUUGACGGGGGCCCGCACAAGCGGUGGAACAUGUGGUUUAAUUCCAUGCAACGCCAAAAACCUUACCUGGUCUUGACAUCCACCA